rnacentral:rRNA from 1 species
UACGUAGGGUGCAAGCGUUAAUCGGAAUUACUGGGCGUAAAGCGUGCGCAGGCGGUUGUGCAAGACCGAUGUGAAAUCCCCGGGCUUAACCUGGGAAUGGCAUUGGUGACUGGCGGGCUAGAGUAUGGCAGAGGGGGGUAGAAUUCCACGUGUAGCAGUGAAAUGCGUAGAGAUGUGGAGGAAUACCGAUGGCGAAGGCAGCCCCCUGGGCCAAUACUGACGCUCAUGCACGAAAGCGUGGGGAGCAAACAGG